rnacentral:rRNA from 1 species
UAAUACGGAGGGUGCAAGCGUUACUCGGAAUCAUUGGGCGUAAAGCGCACGUAGGCGGUCUCUUAAGUCCGAUGUGAAAUCCCGGGGCUCAACCUCGGAUGGCCAUUGGAAACUGAGAGACUUGAGAGUGGAAGGGGUCAGUGGAAUUCCUGGUGUAGGAGUGAAAUCCGUAGAGAUCAGGAGGAACACCGGUGGCGAAGGCGACUGACUGGGCCAUUUCUGACGCUAAUGUGCAAAAGCGUGGGGAGCAAACAGG